rnacentral:rRNA from 1 species
AGCGAACGCUAGCGGCGGGCCUAACACAUGCAAGUCGAGCGCAUACCUUCGGGUAUGAGCGGCGGACGGGUGAGUAACGCGUAGGUCAUCUACCCUUUGGUGGGGGAUAACCCAGGGAAACUUGGGCUAAUACCGCACGAGGUCCACGGAUCAAAGCCUUCGGGCGCCAGAGGAUGAGCCUGCGUCGCAUUACCUAGUUGGCGGGGUAACGGCCCACCAAGGGGACGAUGCGUAGCUGGUCUGAGAGGAUGAUCAGCCACACUGGGACUGAGACACGGCCCAGACUCCUACGGGAGGCAGCAGUGGGGAAUAUUGCGCAAUGGGGGAAACCCUGACGCAGCCACGCCGCGUGGGUGAUGAAGGCCUUCGGUUGUAAAGCCCUGUCGGGAGGGACGGAAGUUCUUGUACGGUACCGUCCAAACGAAAGACACCGGC